rnacentral:rRNA from 1 species
ACGGGAGGCAGCAGUGGGGAAUAUUGGGCAAUGGACGAAAGUCUGACCCAGCGACGCCGCGUGAGGGAAGAAGGUCUUCGGAUUGUAAACCUUAGUCAACAGGGAAGAAGCAAGUGACGGUACCUGUGGAGGAAGCCACGGCUAACUACGUGCCAGCAGCCGCGGUAAUACGUAGGUGGCGAGCGUUAUCCGGAUUUACUGGGUGUAAAGGGUGUGUAGGCGGGUGUGCAAGUCAGAUGUGAAAAUUAUGGGCUUAACUCAUAACUUGCAUUUGAAACUGUACAUCUUGAGUGUCGGAGAGGUAAAUGGAAUUCCCAGUGUAGCGGUGAAAUGCGUAGAUAUUGGGAGGAACACCAGUGGCGAAGGCGAUUUACUGGACGAUUACUGACGCUGAGACACGAAAGUGUGGGGAGCAAACAGGAUUAGAUACCCUGGUA